UUUGGUGAUUCUAGCGAAGAGGAAACACCCGGUCCCAUUCCGAACCCGGCAGUUAAGCUCUUCAGCGCCGAUGGUAGUUGGGGGGCAGCCCCCUGCAAGAGUAGGUCAUCGCCAAGG
rnacentral:rRNA from 1 species